AGUCUAGUGUACAAAAACAAGGAGCUUUAUGAGUUGGCCUUGGACUUGUCCCUCACUAUGGACCACGUCGGUCAAUUUAUUGACGAGUUGAAAAAGGAGUAGGGUGUGUGCCACCAGAGAGGGAGAAGUGUCUGGGUCUCUGCGUUGCACAUGGUCCCAUUUGCCUCCUACGAAAGCCACAGUUUUGCUUGCAUGGAAAUAAAGUGUUUGAUGAUUAUA